GGAGUUUGAAGUGCAUUAAUGAACUCAUAUGGUGAAUAUCUUGGAGAAAGCACACUGUCAGAAAGUGUUUUAGUCUUAUCUUAUUCUGACGCAGUUUUGAGAUGUUAGAUUUCCUGUGCUCUUAAUUUGGCGAUCUAGUCUAAGACGUCAUUUCCUGGUUGUAGCGUUUCUGCGUAAUAUGGGCUCUUGUGUAAACAGCAUUGUGUGCGUUCCUGACUCAAAUGUAAGUAUACGUCGAAUAUAGCACGGUUAUUAAUGCUAAAAUGCCUAUAAUGUGUUCGAUGUAGCCUUAAACGAGUGUUUGUUUGCAACAAUGUUUGUGCUUGACGACAUAAUUCGCCAGCUCAACUUUCGCCCUGUUAAUACUUCUUGUUACACAGUAGUUACCCUAUCCUACCACUAGAGGGCGACACAGACCACGUUUAAAUCAACAGUGCUUAUUCUCCAUUCAUCUCUUAUGGACUGCUUUAAUAGUCCAUGUAUAUUUGUUUUAUAACACAUUGUAGAGUAUAUUAUAUUAUAUAUAAUAUUAUACAUAUCCUGUUGUAUUAUUGCCUAAAUGUAUCCUAAUCAUUAUUUGUAUGUGUUCCCUUUAGACCCCACACACACCUAUACUACAAUUGUUCAACUUCAUCAUUAAAGAGUGCCUGAAAGCCUCUCUGUGCCCUACUCUCUGACCGGAGUCCUUGUCCUAAGAAGAUAUCAGACCAGCAUUCCGCAUCCAGAGUAACCUACUCUAUCACACACACCAUCACUUGAAGAAGGAGGAAUAUAAAACUGCUUCGGCUUCUCCAAGUUAGGAGUGCCACUUGUUGGACUUGACCUCCUCCAGGAACUGCAGUUCUGUAUGACCACGCUCGCUUGUAAUAAAGCAACUUUUUGUUCA